rnacentral:rRNA from 1 species
AGUGAACGCUGGCGGUAGGCCUAACACAUGCAAGUCGAACGGCAGCACAGUAAGAGCUUGCUCUUACGGGUGGCGAGUGGCGGACGGGUGAGGAAUACAUCGGAAUCUACUUUUUCGUGGGGGAUAACGUAGGGAAACUUACGCUAAUACCGCAUACGACCUACGGGUGAAAGCAGGGGAUCUUCGGACCUUGCGCGAUUGAAUGAGCCGAUGUCGGAUUAGCUAGUUGGCGGGGUAAAGGCCCACCAAGGCGACGAUCCGUAGCUGGUCUGAGAGGAUGAUCAGCCACAUUGGAACUGAGACACGGUCCAGACUCCUACGGGAGGCAGCAGUGGGGAAUAUUGGACAAUGGGCGCAAGCCUGAUCCAGCCAUACCGCGUGGGUGAAGAAGGCCUUCGGGUUGUAAAGCUCUUUUGUUGGGAAAGAAAAGCAGCAGGUUAAUACCCCGCUGUUCUGACGGUACCCAAAGAAUAAGCACCGGCUAACUUCGUG